CCUACGGGUGGCAGCAGUGAGGAAUAUUGGUCAAUGGACGAGAGUCUGAACCAGCCAAGUAGCGUGAAGGAUGACUGCCCUAUGGGUUGUAAACUUCUUUUAUAUGGGACUAAAAUGUUCCACGUGUGGGAUUUUGUAUGUACCAUAUGAAUAAGGAUCGGCUAACUCCGUGCCAGCAGCCGCGGUAAUACGGAGGAUCCGAGCGUUAUCCGGAUUUAUUGGGUUUAAAGGGAGCGUAGGUGGGUUGUUAAGUCAGUUGUGAAAGUUUGCGGCUCAACCGUAAAAUUGCAGUUGAAACUGGGAGUCUUGAGGACAGGAGAGGUGGGCGGAAUUCGUGGUGUAGCGGUGAAAUGCUUAGAUAUCACGAAGAACUCCGAUUGCGAAGGCAGCUCACUGGACUGCAACUGACACUGAGGCUCGAAAGUGUGGGUAUCGAACGGGAUUAGAUACCCGUGUAGUC
rnacentral:rRNA from 1 species